GUCUACGGCCAUACCACCCUGAACAAGCCCAAUCCCAUCUGAUCUUGGAAGCUAAGCAGGGUCGGCCUAGUUAGUACUUGGAUGGGAGACCACCUAGGAAGACCAGGUGCUGCAGGCA
rnacentral:rRNA from 1 species